GGGAGGUGGAAUAACAAGAUUGGUGCUAGUAACGAUAAUAUCAAUUGUGAUGCAUCUUCUGGAUGGUUCAAUCUUUGAAAUGUUGGCGACCAUUAAGCAAUCAGGGAGUGUGGAAGAGUACGUCCAAGAUUUUAAAAUCUUGGUGGGAUAGACGAAUGGAGUACCCAAAGAGCAAUUGUUGGGGUACUUUCUCGUCGGACUGCAAGAAGGCAUAUGCAAUCAAGUCUGACCACAUGAACCAUGUUUCUGUAUGAAUAUGUGUAGGGUUGACAAAUGCACCUCUCCGACAUGGCCUGCUUAUCCUCUGGUAUCUGGGUCACCAACUGUGAUGCUCAAGUUAGG
rnacentral:sRNA from 1 species